ACUCCUACGGGAGGCAGCAGUGGGGAAUAUUGCACAAUGGGCGCAAGCCUGAUGCAGCCAUGCCGCGUGUGUGAAGAAGGCCUUCGGUUGUAAAGCACUUUCAGUCGUGAGGAAGGUAGUGUAGUUAAUAGCUGCAUUAUUUGUACGUUAGCGACAGAAGAAGCACCGGCUAACUCCGUGCCAGCAGCCGCGGUAAUACGGAGGGGUGCGAGCGUUAAUCGGAAUUACUGGGCGUAAAGCGCAUGCAGGUGGUUUGUUAAGUCAGAUGUGAAAGCCCGGGGCUCAACCUCGGAAUAGCAUUUGAAACUGGCAGACUAGAGUACUGUAGAGGGGGUAGAAUUUCAGGUGUAGCGGUGAAAUGCGUAGAGAUCUGAAGGAAUACCGGUGGCGAAGGCGGCCCCCUGGACAGAUACUGACACUCAGAUGCGAAAGCGUGGGGAGCAAACAGGAUUAGAUACCCUGGUAGGAUAGCG
rnacentral:rRNA from 1 species